GGCCGCCUGGCGAAAUGGCAUCGCGUCUGACUACGAUUGGGUGUCACACGUUAUCAGGAGAUUGCAGGUUCGACCCCUGCGGUGGUCA